UUCUUAUCCAGAGCGGCGGAGGGACUGGCCCGAUGAUGCCGCGGCAACCCCAUUUCCUUAAGUGGAAGGGAGGGUGCUAAUUCCUGCAGGGUGAAAACUUCAUCCUGGAAGAUGAGAA
rnacentral:ncRNA from 1 species